AUCCUGGCUCAGGAUGAACGCUGGCGGCGUGCCUAAUACAUGCAAGUCGAGCGAACGGACGAGAAGCUUGCUUCUCUGAUGUUAGCGGCGGACGGGUGAGUAACACGUGGAUAACCUACCUAUAAGACUGGGAUAACUUCGGGAAACCGGAGCUAAUACCGGAUAAUAUUUUGAACCGCAUGGUUCAAAAGUGAAAGACGGUCUUGCUGUCACUUAUAGAUGGAUCCGCGCUGCAUUAGCUAGUUGGUAAGGUAACGGCUUACCAAGGCAACGAUGCAUAGCCGACCUGAGAGGGUGAUCGGCCACACUGGAACUGAGACACGGUCCAGACUCCUACGGGAGGCAGCAGUAGGGAAUCUUCCGCAAUGGGCGAAAGCCUGACGGAGCAACGCCGCGUGAGUGAUGAAGGUCUUCGGAUCGUAAAACUCUGUUAUUAGGGAAGAACAUAUGUGUAAGUAACUGUGCACAUCUUGACGGUACCUAAUCAGAAAGCCACGGCUAACUACGUGCCAGCAGCCGCGGUAAUACGUAGGUGGCAAGCGUUAUCCGGAAUUAUUGGGCGUAAAGCGCGCGUAGGCGGUUUUUUAAGUCUGAUGUGAAAGCCCACGGCUCAACCGUGGAGGGUCAUUGGAAACUGGAAAACUUGAGUGCAGAAGAGGAAAGUGGAAUUCCAUGUGUAGCGGUGAAAUGCGCAGAGAUAUGGAGGAACACCAGUGGCGAAGGCGACUUUCUGGUCUGUAACUGACGCUGAUGUGCGAAAGCGUGGGGAUCAAACAGGAUUAGAUACCCUGGUAGUCCACGCCGUAAACGAUGAGUGCUAAGUG
rnacentral:rRNA from 1 species